UACGAAGGGUGCAAGCGUUACUCGGAAUUACUGGGCGUAAAGCGUGCGUAGGCGGUUUGUUAAGUCGGAUGUGAAAGCCCUGGGCUCAACCUGGGAAUUGCAUUGGAUACUGGCAGGCUAGAGUGCGGUAGAGGAUGGAGGAAUUCCCGGUGUAGCAGUGAAAUGCGUAGAGAUCGGGAGGAACAUCUGUGGCGAAGGCGGCCAUCUGGACCAGCACUGACACUGAGGCACGAAAGCGUGGGGAGCAAACAGG
rnacentral:rRNA from 1 species